rnacentral:tRNA from 2 species
GCGGGCGUGGCGGAACUGGCAGACGCGCAGGGUUUAGGUCCCUGUAUCGAAAGAUGUGAGGGUUCGAGUCCCUCCGCCCGCACCA